CAGUCCCUGUCAGGACACAGAUGGACAUGAGGGCUCCCACUCAGCUCCUGGGGCUGCUGCUGCUCUGGGUCCCAGGUGCCAGCUGUGCCAUCCAGAUGACCCAGUCUCCAUCCUCCCUGUCUGCAUCUGUGGGAGACACAGUCACCAUCACUUGCCGAGCCGGUCAGAGCAUUUAUAAUGUUUUAGCUUGGUAUCAGCAGAAACCAGGGAAACCUCCUAAGCUCCUAAUCUAUGGUACAUCCAAUUUGGCAACUGGGGUCCCAUCAAGGUUCAGAGGCAGUGGAUCUGGGACAGAUUAUUCACUCACCAUCAGUGGUCUGGAGGCUGAAGAUGUUGGAAAUUAUUACUGUCAACAAGGUUCAGUGGCAGUGGGUCUGGGACAGAUUUCACCCUCACCAUCAGUGGCCUGCAGGCUGAAGAUUUUGCAACUUAUUACUGUGAUCAGUGGAACAGUUUUCCUCCCACAGUGUUACAAGUCAUAA